UACGGAGGGUGCAAGCGUUAUCCGGAUUUAUUGGGUUUAAAGGGUGCGUAGGCGGCUUAUUAAGUCAGUGGUGAAAGCCCCAAGCUUAACUUGGGAACUGCCAUUGAUACUGAUGAGCUUGAGUAGAUUUGAGGCGGGCGGAAUGUGUCGUGUAGCGGUGAAAUGCUUAGAUAUGACACAGAACACCAAUUGCGUAGGCAGCUCGCUAAACUCUUACUGACGCUGAGGCACGAAAGCAUGGGGAUCAAACAGG
rnacentral:rRNA from 1 species